ensembl:snRNA U1 U1 spliceosomal RNA
AUACUUACCUGGCAGGGGAGAUAGCAUGGUCACGAAGGUGGUUUUCCCAGGUUUAUCCAUUGCACUCUGGAUGUGCUGACCCCUGCAGUUUCCCCAAAUGUGGGAAACUCGACUGCAUAAUUUGUAGUAGUGAAGGACUGUGUUCACGCUUUCCCCUG